rnacentral:lncRNA from 10 species
CAAAAACAAACAAACAAACAAACAAAAAGCUAACAAGAGGGCUAAGGGGAGAAGCAGGGCAUAAUAGCUCCAUGGAGGUGAAAGAAUUAGGCUGGUGUAAAGAGAAAUGGCAGUUCAACUGUGUGAAAAAAAGAUACAAAUUUCGGGUGUGCAUUGGGCUCAUAGGUCUAUUUUGUGCUUAAAGUUGUUGUCCACGUGUGUUAUAUGCAGCACUUUCAGAUAGAAUAAAUGAAGAAACACCCAUUCUGAUCACCAACAUAGUUGUAAUUAAAAAUUUAGUUUUCUUAUAUUACAAUGGUGACAACUAUUUAUUGUAGGAAAAAAAUUAGAUUAGGAUAAAGAAAAACCAAAAAUAUGUAAAAGAAAUAUCUUUGCUAAUAUUACUAUUCAGUGAAACUGCUUUUAUUAGGUUGUUGCAAAAGUAAUUGUGGCUUUUGCUAUCACCUUCAAUGGCAAAAACCACAAUUACUUUUGCACCAACCUAAUUAAAUCUCUGGUUCCUGUAUGCCCUUCCUUGCUCUUUUAUUCUGUCUCUUCCACAUUUACAUAUUCACACGUAUAUUUACACGUUCACACGUAUGUAUAAUAAAUAAACGGGAUCGCAUUGCUGUGUAACCUGCUUUUUCAAUCUAAUGAACGCGUUCUAUGCCAAUACAUAUUUAUCCAUAGAAUAAUUUUUAAAAUGGCUAUAACCAAUCUCCUAUUGUUGGACAUUUAGGUUGCUACUAUAAAUAACAUUGUAAGGACUAUCUUUAUGGCCACAAAUUAAUUCUUAUUCUUAAUUAGUUGCUUGGGUUAACUUCCUUAAAGUAGAAUUGUAGAAUCAAAAAGCAUUCACAUUUUUAAGAAAGCAUCGUUAAUAUCCAACUGUUUGUAUGUUAUAUAUAUGCAAUACUGAGAGAUAGGCUUUAAGGCAGGCUUUGUUAACUUAGGUAAUUGUUGAAUUAGGUUAUUGACUAAUCCAUUACCAUUUUAUUGAGACCUAUAUGCAGCUCACUAUGCAUAUUUAGGUAACAUGAAUACUAAAAUAUUUAGAGCAAAUUCUGAUGGCAACUUUUAGUUAUUUUAUAUCAAGGAAGUGACUAGAAUCCAUAACUGGUGAGGCCAAGAGAAUAAUCUCUCUUAAAGGCUAUUUUAGAUAUUUUUCUGUUAUCCAUAUGCUGCACUUAUUUGUGCUAAGUUCUUAGUAUUUACUUGCUCGCUUGUUCAAUGUUCUGUCUUAAGGUACUGAAUUUUUCUUAAAUAUUUUCGUUGGAAGAUUUUAUUGCUUGCUAGUUGCCUGCUUUUCUACAGAUGAGAAAUGCCACUGUGAGGUCUGUCUUCUCCCUUUCUAGGUAGAAGUUCUGUGCUCCCUGAGGUGAUGAGUACUUUUGGGUACCAUGAUGGCUGAGGAGCACUUUAAAUCUCUUCUGGUGGGAAGAGCUCCAUCUAGGUGGUAAUCUGAGCUGAAAAUGGAUCCUUCACUUAGUAGUAUUGCGGUGAUUCCCAUGCAGGGCUGAGCACAUGACUGCUUACCCACCUCAUUCAUCCAUGCAGUAAAUAGUUAUCAAGGAUCGGCUAUGUGUUGGGCACUGAUUGAUGACACUUGGGAGCAAAACAGACAGCACCUCUGUCCAUGCGGGGCUUUCGUUCUUGCAGGGGGCUCAGAAUAAAAAAAAAAUCAAGAUUGUAUUACAUGAUUAUAAGUGUCAUGGUGGCAAUAGAACAUAUUCAUAUAAUACGUGUGACCGGGGUAGUGGUAGGAGACUGUGUCACUGGAUUGGUUGAGGAGUUAAUGUUUGAGCUGAGAACUGAAUAACAAUUAAGAAGUAGCCAGUCUUGGGAAGAUCUGAGGAAAUGAUACUUAGCGGAGAAGAAUGUAAAUGUAGAACCCCUGAAGAGGACUAAGUUGGGUAUGUUUGAGCCACAGAAAGAGGGCCAGUGGGUCAUUUUGAACACACAGAGGGUGGUUAGAGAUGAGCUGCAGGCAGGUGGGGAAAGAUGAUGUGGAGUCUGUAGGCCACAGCAAGGAAAACUGGAUACAUUCAAAGUGUGAUGAGAAGCUUUAGUGUGUUUUAAGCCAGAGAGUGACAUGACUGUUUUACAUUUAGAAAAGUUUGUGGGAAAUGGAUCCCUAGUUUAGCCAGGAAAUUGCCUGUUAGGAAAUCAAUAAGGAAUUUUUAGAAUAUGAGAACACUAAAACCGUGCUGAAUUCUUCUGAAAGGCUAAGUUAGAUGAGGGCAGAAAAUCAUCCUCUGGGUUCAGCAGGGUGGAAGCCAUUGAGGACUUGGGUAAGAGGGUCUUCAUUUCAGAAACGAUGAUGGAAAACUGAGUAGAGUGGGCUGAGGAGAGAAUGGCGAUCUGGGGGAAAACUGAGAUGAAGAAACUCUGGGCCUGGGUCAGCCACACAGCUAAGGCUAGAAGCAAGGCGAGGUGGUGAAAAAGGGACCAAGGGAAACUACAUACUGAGCAAGGCAACCUCCAGCGCCCUUGGCUUUCUCAGCAGUCACAAUACUGGCAGCCAUCCCUAUGUGUGCAAGGCAGGAGUCUGGGGGACUUCUGUCUGGAGAAACUGUCUAGUGAAGACAAAAGAACUCCAGAUGCUGACAUCUGACGAACCUAAAGAAAGGGGCCAGAUACCCACCCCAUGACUGUACAGUGAGGUACACCAGUGAGUAUACUGCACUCCCACACCCAUGGCUUCUGGCUGCAUUCUCAUGCCUUACUUUUAAACAUAUGCAGAAACCCAAAGAAGAACAUACAUUUGAAGCAUCCUCUAUUGUGAAAUACAGAGACCAAACCUGACAAACAGGAAAAAAGAACCCAGAGAAAACAGACAAUGUAGAGACCAAACACUUCAAAACACCAUAAUAAAUAUUUUCAGAGACAUAAGAGGAGAUUUUACAUACAUAGAAAAAGAAGAGGGUACUAUUGAAAAGGACCAUUCAGAGAAAAAGAUAGAGGAUUGGAAUUUUAAAAUAUGAUAGAAGAAUUGGCACAGAAAGUUGAGGAAAUCUUCCACAAUGUAAAACAUAACAAGAACAAAAAGAGAUGGAAAAAGAAAAGUUAAAAAAUUGACAUCACUUUGAUAAAAUAAAAAUGAAAGAUAAAGCUUAGGAGUUUGUCAAAAUCAAAAUGUUAAGCUACUAUAAAACAGAAAAUUUUUAAUGCUGGGUAUUAAAUGAAAUGAAAAAAGCAUAUUUAUUGACAUAGAAAGGUAGUUACAAUCGGCCGGGCACGGUGGCUCACGCCUGUAAUCCCAGCACUUUGGGAGGCCGAGGCAGGUGGAUCACAAGGUCAGGAGAUUGAGACCAUCCUGGCUAACAUGGUGAAACCCUAUCUCUACUAAAAAUACAAAAAAUUAGCCGGGUCUGGUUGCAGGCACCUGUACUCCCAGCUACUCGGGAGGCUGAGGCAGGAGAAUGGCGUGAACCCGGGAGGCGGAGCUUGCAGUGACCCGAGAUUGCACUACACUGCACUCCAGCCUGGGCGACAGAGCCAGACUCCAUCUCAAAAAAAAAAAAAAAGAAAAAGAAAGGUAGUUACAAUCAUUUAAGUUAAAAAGUAUGGUUUACAGAAUAAUCGCUGGUUUGUUAAAUUAAAAAAGUUAUAUUCAUGCAAAACAAACCAUAGAAUAUGUACAUCAAAGUAAGCUUAUCAUUGGAUUGUGAUAUUAUGGGUUAUAUUAUUUAGGGUAGGCUGAACUCUUAUAACAAAUAGACCCCAAUAUUUAAUGGGCUCAAACUGUUUUCCAACAACUCUAUUGAGGUAUAAUUCAUAUGCCAUACAAUCACCCUACUUAAAGUUACAAUUCAGUGUUUUCCAGUAAAUUAACAGAAAUGUACAAUCAUCACCAUAGUCAAUUUUGGAACAUUUUGGCCACCUCAAAAAGAAAUCCUGUACCCUUUAGUUAUCAUUCCCCCGCAUUGCCAUCCUCCCAACCCUAAGCACCCACUGGACCUCUGUCUCUGUAGAUUUCCCUAUUUUAGAUAUUUUACAUAUAUGAAAUCAUAUGAUAUCUGGUUAUCUUAGUUCAAUUUCUGUUGCUUAUCAGAAUACCUGAAAAUGGGUAAUUUGUAAAGAAAAGUCAUUUAUUUCUUGUAAAUAUGGAGGCUGAGAAGUCCAAGUUCAAGGGGCCACAUCUGGUGAGAGUCUUCUUGCUAGUGGGGGCUCUGGCUUGCCAAGGGGGCUGGGUGUGCUAAGGUGCUCUCAUGUGCUAGCUCACAUAUCUCUUUCUUCUUUUAAAAGGCUAACCAUGAUAACCCAUAUAAUCUGUCAAUCCACGAAUGGAUAGGUCCAUUGAUAAAGGCAGAACCCUCACUGAGUGUGCUAAGGUGCUCUCAUGUGCUAGCUCACAUAUCUCUUUCUUCUUUUAAAAGGCUAACCAUGGUAACCCAUAUAAUCUGUCAAUCCACGAAUGGAUAGGUCCAUUGAUAAAGGCAGAACCCUCACUGAGUGUGCUAAGGUGCUCUCAUGUGCUAGCUCACAUAUCUCUUUCUUCUUUUAAAAGGCUAACCAUGAUAACCCAUAUAAUCUGUCAAUCCACGAAUGGAUAGGUCCAUUGAUAAAGGCAGAACCCUCAUCAUCCAAUCACCUCUUAGAGUCCCCACCUCUCAACACUGCCACACUGGGAAUCAAGUUUCAACACGAGUUUCAGAGGGGAUAUUAAAACCAUAGCAGUGGUCUUUUGUGACUGACUUCUUUCACUCAUCAUAAUAUUUUCAAUUUCAUUCAUUUUGCAGCAUGUAUCAGCACUUCAUUACUUUUUAUGACUGAGUAAUAUUCCAUUGUAUGAAUACACCAUAUUUUGUUUAUCCAUUCAUCAGUUGUUGGACAUUGUUUAUUCCCCCACCCUAUUGGCUAUUACAAUGCUGCUAUGAAGACUUAUGUGCAGGAUUUUGUGUAGACAUAUGUUUUUAUUUAUCUUGGGCAUAUACCUAAGAGUAGAAUAUAUGUACUUAGGAGGGUCAUAUUGUAACUCUAUAUUUAAUUGUGUAAGGAAUUUCCAGAUUGUUUUCCAAAGUGGCUGUAUUAUUUAAAAUUUUCACUGCACAUGAGGAUUCUGAUUUUUUCACAUCCUCAUCAACACUUGUUAUAUGACUUUUUAAUUUUAACCAUCUGUAAUCGGUAUUAGGAUUCUCCAGAGAAACAGAACCAAUAGAAUAAAUAUGUAUGUAUGCAUAUCUAUCUAUCUAUCAUCUAUCUGAUAUAGACAUAUGAAAGGUAAUUUGUCAGAAGAGGUGACUCAUGUGAUUAUGGAGGGUAAGAAGUCCUACAAUGUGUUAUAUGCAAACUGGAGAACAGGAAAGUCAGUAGCAUGACUCCAUCCAGCUUUGAAGAUCUGAGAACCAGGGGAGCUGAUGGUGUAGCUCUUAGUUCAAAGCAGAAGGCCUGAGGAACUGGGUUGGGGGGCACUGAUGAAAGUCACAGAGCCUGAAGGCCAGCGAGCCUGGAGUUUUUAUAUCCAAGGGCAGGAGAAGAUGGGUGUCCCAGCUCUAGAAGAGACAGAGAGAGAGAGAGAGAGAGAGAGAGAGAGAGUGAGCAAAUUCUUUCCUUUGCCUUUUUGUUCUAUUAGGGCCCUCAGCUGAUUGGAUGGUGCCUGCUCACAUGUGGGUGAGGGCAGAUCUUCCUUAUUGAGUCCACUAGUUCAAAUACCAACCUAUUCUGGAAACAACCUCACAGAGAGACUCGAAAUAAUGCUUUGUCAGCCAUCUAGAUAUCCCUUAACCCAGUCAAAUUAACACCUAACAUUAACCAUUACAAGUUCACUCUUUGUCAACUUGGCAUCCACAUGCAUCUCCUUAAGCCAUACUUAAUCUUCAAAUAAAGACAAUAACAAGGUCAUAGUUCAACCUAACAUGAUAUGCCUGAAAAUGCCCCAAACCGUUCCUGAGAAGAGGAGGUAAAGCCCUUGAGUGACAUUUACUCUUCUUCUGAUAGUCCAUAAUUUAAAUACUAUGACAUAAAAUUAGCAAUACUUGAAUACUGAUAUAAAGUUAAUACAUCUUAUAUUACAUGAUAAAGGAAUAGGAGAGGAAAUGAAACAAAGGUAUUUGCUUAAUAUAUGUAUAUAUACACACAAACUUUUUUUUAUACUUUAAGUUCUAGGGUACCUGUGCACAAUGUGCAGGUUUGUUACAUGUGCAUACAUGUGCCAUGUUGGUGUGCUGCACCCAUUAACUCGUCAUUUACAUUAGGUAUAUCUCCUAAUGCUAUCCCUCCCCCCUCCCCCCACCCCAUGACAGACCCCAGUGUGUGAUGUUCCCCAUCCUGUGUCCAAGUGUUCUCAUUGUUCAAUUCCCACCUAUGAGUGAGAAUGUGCCAUGUUUGGUUUUCUGUCCUUGUGAUAGUUCACACAAACACAUUUUUUUUUAACACAAUAGGGAAAAAUACUCAUGACAGUUACAGUCCUUACUUCUGUAACUGGUCACAUGAUCAUAGCUGGUAAUGGUAAUUACCUUUUUGUACUAUCCAUUCUGUAUUCCCAUUGUCUUCAACAAGCACCUUAGCUGGUGAUGGUUUUCUCACCUGGUGGAGUGACCUAAACCUUCAUUCCAUUUGUAGUCCUUCAUGGGUUGGGUUGUUGUAUUUUCCCACUGACCUUAAUCACAGGGCAUAGUUAUACAAAGAGAUACCCUAAGGGAUCUCCUCUAUUCCAGACAUACUCUUCCUUCCUCCACUUUGGAAUAGUAGUCCAGUUUCCCAGUGGUAGUCUGGAUCGAUCAUGCCAGCCAACACUGUAAUUCCCUUCUUAGCCUAUUGACUCAGAGACAUGAAAAUCCCAAUGUGGCUGGGUGGCAUCUUAACCUUCAGUUGAAUGGAGUCAUUGUUGUGUCACCUGAUGGAAGCAUUCUUCCUUCUGGAGCUAACUUCUAGGCUGGCAGAGCAUAAAGCUGUGGGAAUAGGAAGCAAAAAUUUGCUAGUGGGUCACCAGGGAUAAUGGUGAGUGGUGGCCUUUCUAUUUCCCCUCCUUGAUUCCUGGACCCAUGAAUGCUGAGAUGAGAGAAAUAGUACCAUAUAUUGGAUUCUGAUUCAGAGCAUAUUUAGCCGUCUGGAGAAAUUUGUUCCAGCCCUACAAAAUAUUGUCACCUAGCUGCGCUGCAUCUGUGACUUCAAAAUGACAUUCCACAAUUUUAGCAAGCCAGCUGCUUCAAAAUGAUGAGAAACACGGUAAGACCAGUGAAUCUCAUGAGCAUGAAACCAUUGUCACACUUCUUUGGCUGUGAAGUGAAUUCCUGUUCUCCUUUUCCCCUGCAAAGGGAAGUGAUGGCUCAGGGGAUCCUCCUUGGCAGUAGGAUUUGUUGAGGGUGAGAGUGUAGCAUGUGAUGAUAGCAUUGGGGUUCCAGGGUGUAGGUGUGUCUGAGGUGGUGUCAGGGCUGGGAUGUGGGAUGUGGCAACUCUGGCCCGAGGGAGGGUGCAGUAGCAGCUUUUGCUCAGGGGAGGGGGAGCAGUGUGGACUCUGGGCAGCUGUGUCACUAGUGCAGCUUUGACAAAGACUGUGGGGAUCCCUGGUGAUAAAAAUUGUGGGUUUCUGUGGUGGCACUGCAGAUCUGUGCCAGGUUGCAUGAUGGGGUGAUGCAGGUAAAACGCUUCCUAUGUUUUUCUACGUGAUCACUCUCAGUUUUUCUUCUCUACUGGGUUGCUGCAUCUUCUUCACUGUACUUUGGAGAUUUCCUGGAUUUUUUUCUGUUUGUGGUAGUUGUUAAAUCAUCCAUUGCAUUUGUGGUGGGAUGUGGGUUGGGACUUCCUAGUCUCCCACCUUGCUGAUGUCACUCUCUGUAGAAAUAGUUUCUGAGGUCAGUGUUUAAUAUUUGUUCUAACAUCAGGGCUCCCCCUAGUUGUCUUCUUCCCCACUUCUCUCCUAUAAACUAGCCAGCCUACAGUCUAGGCUGUAUCUUCAUUAGAUCCAUGAAUCUCUUCCCACUACAAUCUCCAUUGUUCUUGAGAGUGCCCUUAGGCUUGAACGUCCCUAGCUCUGUUGCAAAUAAAGUCAGUUCCUUUGGGAAGAGUUUAGAAGCUAUUUGUUUUAUGGCCAGUUUUCCCUUCUAGGCAAAAAUCUCUGAGUCAGGACUCUGGAGCUGGGGGUAGGGACAGUGCCAAGCCUCUUUUUGAGUGACACCCAUACUCUAGAAGCUUAGGGGAUGGGCUGCAGCCUAGGGUUCUCUCAGCUUGCCAGUCCUGGUGUGGAGCCACUGCCUCAUGAAUGAAGGCAAGGGCUAUCAGGGCCCCAGUAUUCUCAGUGUGCCACGUCCAAAAUGAAGCCUUCAUUUCAUGGCUGGGAAUUGGGAGGAAGAAGGGAGCACCCUGCAUCUUGACUGCAGUCACCCAAGACUUGGCCUUGGCAACAAUAUGCUAAGGGCAGAAUAAGAAAUGUUACAGUCUUGCCCUGUGUUCUUGACUAUAGUAGUCUGGAGUGCAGUUUCCACAUCACGGAACAGGUGGGGAGGGAGAUAAAAGGAGUCUUCAUUCAAAUACCACAGACCUUCACAUUUUGUACUGAAUUUUUAUAUAUUCUCUUGAGUAGAUGUUUCUUCAUUGGCUUAGGGUAAACUCAAGUCCAUUUCCAGAGGUCAUUUAUAGAUCAAGACUCAUAUUGACUACGCCAUUGUAAAAACAUGGUUUCCAAGGUUGCUGUCGUCUUGGCUAUUCAGUUUUGCAGGAAGAAGAAAGAGUGUAGAGGAGUGUCCACGGGGGAUUUUAUUGACCAUGCCAGAAAGUAGGACACAUCACUAUCACUUAUAUGUUAUGAGUGGGUAGAAAUAAUGUGUCUCACUCACCAGUGGAAUGCAAGUGUUCACCCCAGUGGUGAGGGAAGUUGGGAAGUGCCAUUAGCCAUGGGUUUAACAGUUUUGCCACAUGAGUACUUUAGAUUUUCUCUUAGCUUAUUUGUAUUUUCUGAUUUUGCACAAUGGAUCUAUAUUUCUAAUACAAUGUAAAUAUAAAUAAAUUAAUAAAUAGAGAACAAGCAGUAAGGAAGUAAGGGUAGGGAGUAUAGACAAUCCCUUCUAAGAAGUUUUGCAGGUGCCAUUACUGGAGUGAGAAACUAGGUUAAGAAAAGGUUUCUAAAUAUGACGAUUCUGGCAUAUUUUUGAAAGAAUUAUCCAGAAGACAGGAAACAACUAUUAAGUCUUUGAGUUGGUUCUCCCUAAAUGUUAUAUAGAGUGUCUCUUUCACUUGAGAGAGGAGAGGGAAAUAAAGAAAGAAGGGUUUCAAAAUGGUCACCCUUGCUGUUUCUUCUCAUUAGACUGUAAGGUUCAGGAUUUCAAAGCUUUCCUUGGAACAUUUGGAAGCAGAAAAAAAAAAAAAGAAAAACCACCCACAACAAAACCAGUGCUUACUGAGCCUGACAAAGUAACAAAUUGUGGAAAUUUCCAAAGCUAAUUAUUGCUGUUUUUCUAAAAAAUUCCUUUGAUAUGCUAAGAGUUGUAAUUAGAGUCAUUAAAUACAGAAACCCUUGGGUUGCAAAGAACAUAGGAAUAACCCACUGAUGUGUUGAUUAUGGGUGGGUUGCUAUUUAUCAACAGAACUUAGCCGUGACAUACAAAAUGAGACUGUCAUGCAGUGGGGCUGCCUUUGCAAACUUUCAUGGAGUUAACUCCAAUGCCAGACAUCUAUUGGAAAAUUCUAUGACAGAUAAAAAGAAGGCACUGUGGGAACAUAUAAGGAGAGAAGUUAAUUCUCACUGAGGGAAUUGGGAUCAGCUUUAGAGAGGAGAUAGCAUUUGAACAAAUUCCAGAAGGCCAGUAGGGAUUUAGACAGGAGAUCUUGGAGAGAAGAUAUCCUAGUCUGGGAGUGCCAACAUGGCUUGAAGGCAGAGGACAGGCAAUAGGAGGUGUUAGGAGUUAGCUUGGCUGUGGCUGGUAAAUGUGCAGAAGCACAGUGGAAGGUCAGUCCAGAGAGGGAGUGACAGCACAGCCUGGAGGAUGGAGGGUGAUGCAUGCCAGCUUAAGAAGCUGUGCUUUUUACUGUUAGUUCUGACCAGUUUUUAGAAAAACUAAUCUACUAAUAAUAUGGAGGCAGGGGUGAGGAUGGAAGAAAUAUUGGAAGUCGACUAGAAGGAGGUGAGUGCACAGUUUGUUCAGGAGGUGAUGACACACUGAUUAGCGCUGGCAGAGAGAUGUGGGGGAGAUAUUAAGACACCCCUAGAGUGUGAGGAGGACUUUUUACAGCUUCCGGAGAGGAAAAAGUGGUUAUCACAAGUCUGCAGGGCUCUUUGAGCCUUCCCCAGAUGUGGAACAGAGAAAGUUUGAAGUAGAUGCCAUUUUAAGAGCCAGGACAUGGAUUCUCCCUCUCUGCAAAACGUCCUUGCAAACUCUCGAGGGAAACCAGUGCUUCAUGUUGUUAAAGUUUUACAAGUUAUGGCAUAAAUUGUUCUUCAAGUGCCGAAUGUAGUGACCAAUAAAUCACCGAGAGGAUUCUCUGAGAUUUGCAAUUGUGGAAUUACAGAUUUUGUACCUAGUCUUGGAUGCACUGAGCUGGGUCUACUCUGAGGCAGCAAGCUGCAACCCUGCCCUGUCCAGUCACCUCACUGUCACCUGGAAGAAUCCUGUUCUUUAGUGGAAAUAAGUCACAGACGUCCUCAAAGGCGAACGCUCCAGGUGCACCCCAGAGAGCUGCCCCACUAGCUCUGACUGGCUGAUGCUGUGUUUGGCUCCAAGCACUUCUUGCUAUAAAUCCACCACAGGUGUCCUUACUCUCCAUCACCCAGUCCUUUGUUCCGUCAUUGCCUCAUAUUCAUUUAGCAAGACUUCACUGAGAACUUAGAGACUCGCUGCUUCCCUGUGGGGCUACAACAGUAAACACCACAGACAGGCGCUGGUGGCGAAGACAGCCAAACAGACCAGGAAUUACAAAACACUUCGAAAAGUGCUCUGAUGGGAGAAACACAGAGUGCCGAGGGAACAUGUGGGAGAGAUGUUGGGGAAACUUCUGGAAGGAAGUGGCCAGGUGAGAACUUCAGUCAUUUUGGAUGAGUUCCUCUUCCUAUGCUCCAGCCCCACAUACUAUCUUCCAUGCAUUCUGUUGAUUCUCCGCUGUGACAUCUACCAGGCAGCAGUGAGGAUGCCAGAGUUCAUGGGUUUCUAGAAGACAAGUUUUCAACUGCAGAUACAAACAUCAGGACGUCAAUGUAUCUGCUAGGAGACACCCGGACAGUGUUGAGAACACAGAACCUGGAGGCUAAACCCCCAGCUUUCUAUGCCAGCUGAGAGUCUGUGGGCACAUUACUCAGCGUCUCUGAACCUCAUGCUCCUCCCCUGUGACAUGUAGAUUGCUAAACCCAUCUCACAGGGCUAUCUUCUGCAUUUAAAGAAUAAAAUAACACAUGAGGGGUCUAUCAAUGUUUCUGACCUAUUUAUUUAUUGUUAAUCCUUUCUCUACACCGAAUACUCUAACUAACCUUUUGGAUUCUCACUUAAUGAGAAAAAGCAAAAUUAACUUGAGCAGCUUUGCUAUGAACAUUUGCAAGUAGUUUCAGGUGGGAAUUUGCCUUCAUGGAGAAGAGUGAGUGGAUCUACAUGGCACAAACUAUUUCUUGACAACUCAAAAGUCAUUCCCAAUCUCCUUUCCCCUCAGGACCUCUUGCUCAGAGGCCAGAGCACCAAACGCUUGCUUGUACGGACCAUGCAAGUCACUUCCGCCCCAUCCAUUCUCUCAUGCUUCUAUGCAUUACUCAACAGAGAGUAUGAGGACAUUUAGUAUGUGCCAGGCACUAUUUUGGUCACAGAGGAGACAGACAGAAAGGAGAAAUAGGUACAGUCAUGCUCCACAUGAAGAUGUUUUGGACAAUGACAGAUGGCAUAUACAAUGGUGAUCCCAUAAGAUUAGAAGCCCAUAUUUUUACUGUACUUUUUCUAUGUUAGAAUAUGUUUAGAUACAGAAACACUUACCAUUGUGUUAAAAUUGCCUAU